rnacentral:rRNA from 1 species
GACGAACGCUGGCGGCGUGCCUAACACAUGCAAGUCGAACGAGGUCCAUGAGAGCUUGCUCUCGGACGACCUAGUGGCGAACGGGUGAGUAACACGUGAGAAACCUGCCUCGGAGUGGGGAAUAACUCGGGGAAACUCGAGCUAAUACCGCAUACCUUCAGAUGAUCGCAUGGUCGACUGAAGAAAGAAUUUCGCUCUGAGAGGGUCUCGCGGCCUAUCAGCUAGUUGGUGGGGUAACGGCCUACCAAGGCAACGACGGGUAGCUGGAUUGAGAGAUCGAUCAGCCACACUGGGACUGAGACACGGCCCAGACUCCUACGGGAGGCAGCAGUGGGGAAUCUUGCGCAAUGGGCGAAAGCCUGACGCAGCAACGCCGCGUGCGGGAUGACGGCCUUCGUGGUUGUAAACCGCUUUCAGCAGGGACGAAAUUGACGGUACCUGCAGAAGAAGCCCCGGCUAACUACGUGCCAGCCGCCGCCGUAAUAC